GUUAAUGAGGCGAACCGGGGGAACUGAAACAUCUAAGUACCCCGAGGAAAAGAAAUCAACCGAGAUUCCCCCAGUAGCGGCGAGCGAACGGGGAGGAGCCCAGAGUCUGAAUCAGUGUGUGUGUUAGUGGAAGCGUCUGGAAAGGCGCGCGAUACAGGGUGACAGCCCCGUACACAAAAAUGCACAUACUGUGAGCUCGAUGAGUAGGGCGGGACACGUGGUAUCCUGUCUGAAUAUGGGGGGACCAUCCUCCAAGGCUAAAUACUCCUGACUGACCGAUAGUGAACCAGUACCGUGAGGGAAAGGCGAAAAGAACCCCGGCGAGGGGAGUGAAAAAGAACCUGAAACCGUGUACGUACAAGCAGUGGGAGCCUCUUUUAUGGGGUGACUGCGUACCUUUUGUAUAAUGGGUCAGCGACUUAUAUUCUGUAGCAAGGUUAACCGAAUAGGGGAGCCGAAGGGAAACCGAGUCUUAACUGGGCGUUAAGUUGCAGGGUAUAGACCCGAAACCCGGUGAUCUAGCCAUGGGCAGGUUGAAGGUUGGGUAACACUAACUGGAGGACCGAACCGACUAAUGUUGAAAAAUUAGCGGAUGACUUGUGGCUGGGGGUGAAAGGCCAAUCAAACCGGGAGAUAGCUGGUUCUCCCCGAAAGCUAUUUAGGUAGCGCCUCGUGAAUUCAUCUCCGGGGGUAGAGCACUGUUUCGGCAAGGGGGUCAUCCCGACUUACCAACCCGAUGCAAACUGCGAAUACCGGAGAAUGUUAUCACGGGAGACACACGGCGGGUGCUAACGUCCGUCGUGAAGAGGGAAACAACCCAGACCGCCAGCUAAGGUCCCAAAGUCAUGGUUAAGUGGGAAACGAUGUGGGAAGGCCCAGACAGCCAGGAUGUUGGCUUAGAAGCAGCCAUCAUUUAAAGAAAGCGUAAUAGCUCACUGGUCGAGUCGGCCUGCGCGGAAGAUGUAACGGGGCUAAACCAUGCACCGAAGCUGCGGCAGCGACGCUUAUGCGUUGUUGGGUAGGGGAGCGUUCUGUAAGCCUGUGAAGGUGUGCUGUGAGGCAUGCUGGAGGUAUCAGAAGUGCGAAUGCUGACAUAAGUAACGAUAAAGCGGGUGAAAAGCCCGCUCGCCGGAAGACCAAGGGUUCCUGUCCAACGUUAAUCGGGGCAGGGUGAGUCGACCCCUAAGGCGAGGCCGAAAGGCGUAGUCGAUGGGAAACAGGUUAAUAUUCCUGUACUUGGUGUUACUGCGAAGGGGGGACGGAGAAGGCUAUGUUGGCCGGGCGACGGUUGUCCCGGUUUAAGCGUGUAGGCUGGUUUUCCAGGCAAAUCCGGAAAAUCAAGGCUGAGGCGUGAUGACGAGGCACUACGGUGCUGAAGCAACAAAUGCCCUGCUUCCAGGAAAAGCCUCUAAGCAUCAGGUAACAUCAAAUCGUACCCCAAACCGACACAGGUGGUCAGGUAGAGAAUACCAAGGCGCUUGAGAGAACUCGGGUGAAGGAACUAGGCAAAAUGGUGCCGUAACUUCGGGAGAAGGCACGCUGAUAUGUAGGUGAAGUCCCUUGCGGAUGGAGCUGAAAUCAGUCGAAGAUACCAGCUGGCUGCAACUGUUUAUUAAAAACACAGCACUGUGCAAACACGAAAGUGGACGUAUACGGUGUGACGCCUGCCCGGUGCCGGAAGGUUAAUUGAUGGGGUCAGCGCAAGCGAAGCUCUUGAUCGAAGCCCCGGUAAACGGCGGCCGUAACUAUAACGGUCCUAAGGUAGCGAAAUUCCUUGUCGGGUAAGUUCCGACCUGCACGAAUGGCGUAAUGAUGGCCAGGCUGUCUCCACCCGAGACUCAGUGAAAUUGAACUCGCUGUGAAGAUGCAGUGUACCCGCGGCAAGACGGAAAGACCCCGUGAACCUUUACUAUAGCUUGACACUGAACAUUGAGCCUUGAUG
rnacentral:rRNA from 1 species